rnacentral:rRNA from 1 species
GCUAAACGCGAAGAACCUUACCUGGCCUUGACAUGUCCGGAAUUCUGCAGAGAUGCGGAAGUGCCUUCGGGAACCGGAACACAGGUGCUGCAUGGCUGUCGUCAGCUCGUGUCGUGAGAUGUUGGGUUAAGUCCCGCAACGAGUGCAACCCUUGUCCUUAGUUGCCAGCGAGUAAUGUCGGGAACUCUAAGGAGACUGCCGGUGACAAACCGGAGGAAGGUGGGGAUGACGUCAAGUCCUCAUGGCCCUUACGGCCAGGGCUACACACGUACUACAAUGGUCGGUACAGAGGGUUGCCAAACCGCAAGGUGGAGCCAAUCCCAGAAAGCCGAUCCCAGUCCGGAUCGGAGUCUGCAACUCGACUCCGUGAAGUCGGAAUCGCUAGUAAUCGCGGAUCAGCUAUGCCGCGGUGAAUACGUUCCCGGGUCUUGUACACACCG